UACGGAGGAUCCAAGCGUUAUCCGGAAUCAUUGGGUUUAAAGGGUCCGUAGGCGGUUUGGUAAGUCAGUGGUGAAAGCCCAUCGCUCAACGGUGGAACGGCCAUUGAUACUGCCAGACUUGAAUUAUUAGGAAGUAACUAGAAUAUGUAGUGUAGCGGUGAAAUGCUUAGAGAUUACAUGGAAUACCAAUUGCGAAGGCAGGUUGCUACUAAUGGAUUGACGCUGAUGGACGAAAAGCGUGGGUAGCGAACAGG
rnacentral:rRNA from 1 species